rnacentral:rRNA from 1 species
AGAUUGAACGCUAGCGGGAUGCUUUACACAUGCAAGUCGAACGGCAGCGCGGACUUCGGUCUGGCGGCGAGUGGCGAACGGGUGAGUAAUAUAUCGGAACGUGCCCAGUAGCGGGGGAUAACUACGCGAAAGCGUGGCUAAUACCGCAUACGCCCUACGGGGGAAAGGGGGGGAUCGCAAGACCUCUCACUAUUGGAGCGGCCGAUAUCAGAUUAGCUAGUUGGUGAGGUAAAGGCUCACCAAGGCGACGAUCUGUAGCUGGUUCGUAGAGGACGGACC